UAAUACGUAGGGAGCAAGCGUUGUCCGGAAUUACUGGGUGUAAAGGGAGCGUAGGCGGGAAUACAAGUUGAAUGUGAAAUCGACCGGCUCAACCGGUUACAGCGUUCAAAACUGUAUUUCUUGAGUGAAGUAGAGGCAGGCGGAAUUCCUAGUGUAGCGGUGAAAUGCGUAGAUAUUAGGAGGAACACCAGUGGCGAAGGCGGCCUGCUGGGCUUUAACUGACGCUGAGGCUCGAAAGCGUGGGGAGCAAACAGG
rnacentral:rRNA from 1 species